UAACACAUGCAAGUCGAACGAGAAAGUGGAGCAAUCCAUGAGUAAAGUGGCGCACGGGUGAGUAACACGUGACUAACCUACCCUUGAGUGGGGGAUAACCUAGGGAAACCUGGGCUAAUACCGCAUAAUACCCACGGGUCAAAGGAGCAAUUCGCUCGAGGAGGGGGUCGCGGCCGAUUAGUUAGUUGGCGGGGUAACGGCCCACCAAGACGAUGAUCGGUAUCCGGCCUGAGAGGGCGCACGGACACACUGGAACUGAAACACGGUCCAGACUCCUACGGGAGGCAGCAGUGGGGAAUUUUGCGCAAUGGGGGAAACCCUGACGCAGCAACGCCGCGUGGAGGAUGAAGUCCUUCGGGACGUAAACUCCUUUCGACCGGGACGAUAAUGACGGUACCGGAAGAAGAAGCCCCGGCUAACUUCGUGCCAGCAGCCGCGGUAAUACGAGGGGGGCGAGCGUUGUUCGGAAUUAUUGGGCGUAAAGGGUGCGUANGCGGUUUGGUAAGUCUGAUGUGAAAUCUAUGGGCUCAACUCAUAGUCUGC
rnacentral:rRNA from 1 species